rnacentral:rRNA from 1 species
CAGUAGCCACGGUAAUACGGAGGGUGCAAGCGUUAAUCGGAAUUACUGGGCGUAAAGCGUGCGUAGGCGGUUCGUUAAGUCUGUUGUGAAAGCCCCGGGCUCAACCUGGGAAUGGCAAUGGAUACUGGCGAGCUAGAGUGUGUCAGAGGAUGGUGGAAUUCCCGGUGUAGCGGUGAAAUGCAUAGAGAUCGGGGGGAACAUCAGUGGCGAAGGCGGCCAUCUGGGACAACACUGACGCUGAGGCACGAAAGCGUGGGGAGCAAACAGGAUUAGAUACCCGGGUAGUCCCUGUCUCUUAUAC